AUUGAACGCUGGCGGCAGGCCUAACCCAUGCAAGUCGAACGAGUGGCGGACGGGUGAGUAAUGUCUGGGAAACUGCCCGAUGGAGGGGGAUAACUACUGGAAACGGUAGCUAAUACCGCAUACCAUCGGAUGUGCCCAGAGGGGAUUAGCUAGUCGGUGUGGUAACGGCUCACCUAGGCCACGAUCCCUAGCGGGUCUGAGAGGAUUACCAGGCACACUGGAACUGAGACACGGUCCAGACUCCUACGUGAGGCAGCAGUGGGGAAUAUUGCACAAUGGGCGCAAGCCGGAUGCAGCCAUGCCGCGUGUAUGAAGAAGGCCUUCGGGUUGUAAAGUACUUUCAGCGAGGAGGCGUUACUCGCAGAAGAAGCACCGGCUAACGCCGUGCCAGCAGCCGCGGUAAUUC
rnacentral:rRNA from 1 species